rnacentral:lncRNA from 1 species
UGUAGCAAGAGGCCAGGAUUAUUUUUAGUUGGAAAAGCUUCAUUUACUUCUCACAAGGUACAGGAGAGGAGAACACCUUUAAAAAUGGAGACCUAUGUCACUUUUACAAAGGAAAAUUUAUGCUGUGAUUUUAGGCAGAAAGUUGACACCAGAGAAUUCUUCCUGCUGCUUCUCAAUUUCCUUCAGCUCAAAAAUGAUCCUUAUGCCAAUAUGGAAUAUUUUUGGGGUGGCAUAUUCUGCUCCUCUUCAGCAUCCUUCCUGCUCUGUGGCCUGUUGUGCUUCAAUUUCGUCAUCUUCAAAACCAGGAAGAGCUAUAUUCAUCUUAUCUCACAAAGCUGAUUAACAUAAAUGAAGGAGCCUUGGAAAAUGGAAAGCAUUAUACAAAUUAGGGUAUAACCACAUGACUAAUGUCACAUAUAAAAAUGGAGAACGGGUGCACAUUAAAGAGUAGAGGUGCCUUCCACCAUGACUGUAAGUUUCCUGAGG